GUGGUAUCCUGUCUGAAUAUGGGGGGACCAUCCUCCAAGGCUAAAUACUCCUGACUGACCGAUAGUGAACCAGUACCGUGAGGGAAAGGCGAAAAGAACCCCGGCGAGGGGAGUGAAAAAGAACCUGAAACCGUGUACGUACAAGCAGUGGGAGCACGCUUAGGCGUGUGACUGCGUACCUUUUGUAUAAUGGGUCAGCGACUUAUAUUCUGUAGCAAGGUUAACCGAAUAGGGGAGCCGAAGGGAAACCGAGUCUUAACUGGGCGUUAAGUUGCAGGGUAUAGACCCGAAACCCGGUGAUCUAGCCAUGGGCAGGUUGAAGGUUGGGUAACACUAACUGGAGGACCGAACCGACUAAUGUUGAAAAAUUAGCGGAUGACUUGUGGCUGGGGGUGAAAGGCCAAUCAAACCGGGAGAUAGCUGGUUCUCCCCGAAAGCUAUUUAGGUAGCGCCUCGUGAAUUCAUCUCCGGGGGUAGAGCACUGUUUCGGCAAGGGGGUCAUCCCGACUUACCAACCCGAUGCAAACUGCGAAUACCGGAGAAUGUUAUCACGGGAGACACACGGCGGGUGCUAACGUCCGUCGUGAAGAGGGAAACAACCCAGACCGCCAGCUAAGGUCCCAAAGUCAUGGUUAAGUGGGAAACGAUGUGGGAAGGCCCAGACAGCCAGGAUGUUGGCUUAGAAGCAGCCAUCAUUUAAAGAAAGCGUAAUAGCUCACUGGUCGAGUCGGCCUGCGCGGAAGAUGUAACGGGGCUAAACCAUGCACCGAAGCUGCGGCAGCGACGCUGAUGCGUUGUUGGGUAGGGGAGCGUUCUGUAAGCCUGUGAAGGUGUGCUGUGAGGCAUGCUGGAGGUAUCAGAAGUGCGAAUGCUGACAUAAGUAACGAUAAAGCGGGUGAAAAGCCCGCUCGCCGGAAGACCAAGGGUUCCUGUCCAACGUUAAUCGGGGCAGGGUGAGUCGACCCCUAAGGCGAGGCCGAAAGGCGUAGUCGAUGGGAAACAGGUUAAUAUUCCUGUACUUGGUGUUACUGCGAAGGGGGGACGGAGAAGGCUAUGUUGGCCGGGCGACGGUUGUCCCGGUUUAAGCGUGUAGGCUGGUUUUCCAGGCAAAUCCGGAAAAUCAAGGCUGAGGCGUGAUGACGAGGCACUACGGUGCUGAAGCAACAAAUGCCCUGCUUCCAGGAAAAGCCUCUAAGCAUCAGGUAACAUCAAAUCGUACCCCAAACCGACACAGGUGGUCAGGUAGAGAAUACCAAGGCGCUUGAGAGAACUCGGGUGAAGGAACUAGGCAAAAUGGUGCCGUAACUUCGGGAGAAGGCACGCUGAUAUGUAGGUGAAGCGACUUGCUCGUGGAGCUGAAAUCAGUCGAAGAUACCAGCUGGCUGCAACUGUUUAUUAAAAACACAGCACUGUGCAAACACGAAAGUGGACGUAUACGGUGUGACGCCUGCCCGGUGCCGGAAGGUUAAUUGAUGGGGUCAGCGCAAGCGAAGCUCUUGAUCGAAGCCCCGGUAAACGGCGGCCGUAACUAUAACGGUCCUAAGGUAGCGAAAUUCCUUGUCGGGUAAGUUCCGACCUGCACGAAUGGCGUAAUGAUGGCCAGGCUGUCUCCACCCGAGACUCAGUGAAAUUGAACUCGCUGUGAAGAUGCAGUGUACCCGCGGCAAGACGGAAAGACCCCGUGAACCUUUACUAUAGCUUGACACUGAACAUUGAGCCUUGAUGUGUAGGAUAGGUGGGAGGCUUUGAAGUGUGGACGCCAGUCUGCAUGGAGCCGGCCUUGAAAUACCACCCUUUAAUGUUUGAUGUUCUAACGUUGACCCGU
rnacentral:rRNA from 1 species